AUGUCAGCCGGCACCGCUACGCCGGGACUCGUUGUCACCGCCACCGAUCCCAUCCGCUCUUUCCUCUCCUUCGCCGCCGGCUCCCCCGACCUCUCCGACGACCUCCGGGGCCUGGCCUCCGCCCUCUCUUCUGAGCGGGCCGUCCCCUACCGCUCCAUCCGCGCCAUCUGGUGCGCCGACUGCUCCCGCGGCCGCCCACCUCUCAGACAGCUCUUGCAAGGCGCUCAAUUCGUGCUGUCCAGCCCCAAGCCCCGCGAGAAGAGCGAUGAGCUCAAGGCGAGGCUGGAGAAGCUUCGGGAGAUGCAGGAGAGGAAGGAGUACGCCGAGCUCGUCAAGGAUGUCGCGCCUAAGGAGGACAACACCGAGCCCUUCUCCUCUUACAAGGAUCAGCUAGGAUUCGGUCUGCAUGUUGUGGUCAUAAUGUUCACAGGUUAUUUGGUGGGAUCUGCUACUUUCAAAGCUCUGUUUGGCAACAGUCCUGUAAUGAAUGCUGCUGGAGGCAUCUUAGGAGUGGUGGGUGGCAUGCUGAUGGAAACAGUUCUUUUCAUCAUCAGAUCAUCCAGUAAAGAGUUGUCGUCUUCGGUUCCAAGAUCCAAGAAGCUUCAGUAG
rnacentral:rRNA from 1 species